UACGUAGGGUGCAAGCGUUGUCCGGAAUUAUUGGGCGUAAAGAGCUCGUAGGCGGUCUGUUGCGUCGGUUGUGAAAACCCGGGGCUCAACUCCGGGCCUGCAGCCGAUACGGGCAGACUAGAGUUCGGCAGGGGAGACUGGAAUUCCUGGUGUAGCGGUGAAAUGCGCAGAUAUCAGGAGGAACACCGGUGGCGAAGGCGGGUCUCUGGGCCGAUACUGACGCUGAGGAGCGAAAGCGUGGGGAGCGAACAGG
rnacentral:rRNA from 1 species